rnacentral:piRNA from 1 species
GACCUUAGAUCCUGACAGAGGCCUAUUGU